rnacentral:sRNA from 1 species
UAAUGUGCUUUGGGCCCGAGGCGUGUCACUGCGCUGAGGUGUCCAACCCCUUUUCCCAACACUACUUUUAUUAUCUUAUCAUGUCUGCGUGUGUGCUUGCGCGCUCGCAGUACUACUUUUAUAAUAAAGACAACUUUUAACGGUGGAUCUCUAGGCUCACGCAUCGAUGAAGAACGCAGCGAAAUGCGAUACGUAAUGUGAAUCGCAGAACUCAGUGAAUCAUCGAAUCUUUGAACGCAAAUUGCGCUUUCGGGUUAUUCCUGAGAGCACGCCUGUUUGAGAAUCGUCAUCGUACUCGACCUCUGCUCGCGCAGUGUGUCGGCGUUGGAGUGUUUCGCCGCAUGGCGAAUCCUCUUAAAAGCUAAAGUCGCGCUGCGACGCCCGCCUGAAGGUGCUCUUGCAGCUCAGGAACUUUGUGGUAAUCUUAUCUCUAAGUUCUCGAGUUGUGCUGUGGCGCCCUCUAUUGUGCUGGCUCGUGGCCAAGGCUAUACAACGUCCUACGGCCCUGCUCUCGCGAGCUUGGCCCCAACCCAAUGAUCUCACAUCAGACGAGACUACCCGCUGAAUUUAAGCAUAUCAAUA